rnacentral:lncRNA from 1 species
ACCAGAGUUAGAUCCAAGUCUUCCUAACUGAGAGGUCAUCUCCCUCUCCCCCACACCACACAGAUUCUUGCCUAAAAGCCUCUCAGAAUACCUAGUUUGCUUCAAGAGUCAGCUCAAGUGCCUCCUUCUACACGAAGCCAUUCUUGACCCUGCAGGCUUCAAAUCUUCUUAGAUGUUCUCCUCCUCGAUGUACUCCAUGAUCCAGCUAGACCCGCCUAGUCAGAGUUCCUCCAACCCA